rnacentral:lncRNA from 1 species
UCUGGAGACUUCAGAUUCCACAGAGCCCAGGAAAUUGCACUAUUUCCUGCGAGUUGUGCCGUGAGAAGCCGCCCAGAGGAGCCGGUUCGCGUGGCCUGUGAGGUUCCCGUGCAGGACGGUCCAGGGCGCGACCGGCGCCGCCUCUGCCCUGGUGUGGGAGAGGGGGCCUGGCCUGGAGACCUGCCCGGCUUCUGGUUUGCUGGGGCCAACAGAGGCAGGUUAGCCAGAGGGGCGGCUGCUGCAGGAGCACACAGAUGCGAACACGGAGCAGGGAAGGCAGUCGGCAAUGCGAGCUUCCCACACUCCCUAUGCUGGUGUUUACGGAUUCCGUGUCCUGGGCUGGAAAAUGGAACUCCUGAGGAACCUGACACACAAUCCAUGCUAAUGUCUACAGCUGGCUCUUGGUUUAGAGAUUCUUCAGUAGUGUACUCCAGAACCGCCCUUCCUUCUUCCCUGCCCUCGCUGGCUUCUUUGUUGUUUUCUGAACAGUUUAGCAUCAUUAACAGCUCAGGCUGUUUCCUUUUUAACUGAUCAAGGAACUGUAUUAACUUUAAUUCAAACAGUGUAAAAAAAAAAAAAAAUACACUAGCGAUAAAAUGGCUUGAGAGGCAGCCAAAAGAAAAAAGAAGAAAAAACCCUCAAACUGCAAGCCCCGCUGCCUGUGCCUCACCUGUCCCUUUUAAAACAACGCAUUGCAAAACUGACCUAUACCAGGGAGGAAGAGGAGUGGGCAAAGAGUACAGGAGGGCACCAGACCCCACAGGGAAACUGGCUACUCUCAGAUGGCCGAGUCUUCAUCCCAAAGGGGGCCACCUACCCCCUGGUGCAACAAUACCACCAGCGCACCCACCUGCGAAAGACUGCUUUAGGAGCCCUGCUUGAAAAAUAUUACUGCAUUGCCCGAUGGCCUCGCCCUGCACCACCGUUAGCAGCCAAUGCCAAACCUGCCUAAGAACAACCCCUCCCGGGGUCCCCAGGCCCCGUGGGCAUCCAGCACACAGGAACUGCCCCUUUCAAAAAUUUAACAAUGGACUUCACAG